CGCGGUGAAUACGUUCCCGGGCCUUGUACACACCGCCCGUCACACCACGAGAGUUUGUAACACCCGAAGUCGGUGAGGUAACCUUUUGGAGCCAGCCGCCUAAGGUGGGAUAGAUGAUUGGGGUGAAGUCGUAACAAGGUAGCCGUAUCGGAAGGUGCGGCUGGAUCACCUCCUUU
rnacentral:rRNA from 1 species